GACGAACGCUGGCGGCGUGCUUAACACAUGCAAGUCGAACGGAAAGGCCUGCUUUCCCUUGUGGAUUGCGGGUACUCGAGUGGCGAACGGGUGAGUAACACGUGAGUGAUCUGCCCCCAACUUGGGUAUAAGCCUGGGAAACUGGGUCUAAUUCCCGAUAGGACUGCAGUGUGGUGCCUGUGGUGGAAAACGAUUUUCUAGUGGUUGGGGAUGAGCUCGCGGCCUAUCAGCUUGUUGGUGGGGUAAUGGCCUACGAAGGCGGCGACGGGUAGCCGGCCUGAGAGGGUGGACGGGCAAAUUGGGACUGAGAUACGGCCCAGACUGCUACGGGAGGCAGCAGUGGGGAAGAAUGAACAAUGGGCGGAAGCCUGAUGCAGCGACGCCGCGUGGGGGAUGACGGCCUUCGGGUUGUAAACUCCUUUCGACCGCGAGGAAGCCACCUGGUUGGAAGGGUGGUGACGGUAGUGGUAGAAGAAGCACCGGCUAACUACGUG
rnacentral:rRNA from 1 species